GUCUUUUUGAUUAUAAUUUAAAGUUUAACCUGCCCAAUGAAUUAUUAAAUGGCUGCAGUAUUUUGACUGUACAAAGGUAGCAUAAUCAUUAGUUUCUUAAUUAGGAACUGGAAUGAAAGGUUGGACGAGAAAAUUUCUGUCUCUUUAUUAAUUUUUUAGAAUUUUAUUUUUAAGUUAAAAAGCUUAAUUAUAUUUAAAAGACGAGAAGACCCUAUAGAGUUUUAUAAAAAUUAUUAUAAUAAUUAUAUUUAAUUUUAAUUUUAUUAUUAUUUUUAUUUAAUUGGGGUGAUUAAAAAAUUUUAUAAACUUUUUUUAAAUAAUAACAUAUAUUUAUGAGUUAUUGAUCCAUUAUAUUAUGAUUAUAAGAAUAAAUUACCUUAGGGAUAACAGCGUAAUUUCUUUAAAGAGUUCUAAUCGAUAAAGAAGUUUGCGACCUCGAUGUUGGAUUAAAAUUUAAAUUUGGUGUAGAAGCUAAAUAAUUUUAGGUCUGUUCGACCUUUAAAAUUUUACAUGAUCUGAGUUUAAACCGGUGUGAGCCAGGUUGGUUUCUAUCUUUAAAAUUAUUUUAAUAUUUUAGUACGAAAGGACCAAAUAUGAAUAAAAUUUAUUUAUUAAUUGAAUUUUAAUAAUAAUUA
rnacentral:rRNA from 1 species